GAUGAACGCUGGCGGCGUGCUUAACACAUGCAAGUCGAGCGAAGCGAUUUUAAGGAAGCCUUCGGGUGGAAUUAAAAUUGACUUAGCGGCGGACGGGUGAGUAACGCGUGGGUAACCUGCCUCAUACAGGGGGAUAACAGUUAGAAAUGACUGCUAAUACCGCAUAAGCGCACAGUGCUGCAUAGCACAGUGUGAAAAACUCCGGUGGUAGGAGAUGGACCCGCGUCUGAUUAGGUAGUUGGUGAGGUAACGGCCCACCAAGCCGACGAUCAGUAGCCGACCUGAGAGGGUGACCGGCCACAUUGGGACUGAGACACGGCCCAAACUCCUACGGGAGGCAGCAGUGGGGAAUAUUGGACAAUGGGGGAAACCCUGAUCCAGCGACGCCGCGUGACUGAAGAAGUAUUUCGGUAUGUAAAGGUCUAUCAGCAGGGAAGAAAAUGACGGUACCUGACUAAGAAGCCCCGGCUAACUACGUGCCAGCCGCCGCAGUAAAAC
rnacentral:rRNA from 1 species